rnacentral:rRNA from 1 species
UCGAGAAUCUUCCGCAAUGGACGAAAGUCUGACGGAGCGACGCCGCGUGAUGGAUGAAGUCCCUCUGGGACGUAAACAUCUUUUAUGAGGGAGAAAGUUUAUUGAUAGUACCUCACGAAUAAGGGGUUGCUAAACUCGUGCCAGCAGCAGCGGUAAUACGAGUGCCCCGAGCGUUAUCCGGAAUCAUUGGGCGUAAAGGGUGUGUAGGUGGCAUUGUUAGUCACACGUUAAACCCUGGGGCUUAACCCCAGAUCUGCGUGUGAUACGGCAAAGCUAGAGGAUGGCAGGGAUGUAUGGAACUCAUGGAGUAGGGGUGAAAUCCGUUGAUAUCAUGGGGAACACCGAAAGCGAAGGCAGUACAUUGGGCCACUCCUGACACUGAAACACGAAAGCGUGGGUAGCGAAUGGGAUUAGAUACCCCUGUAGUCCCUG